GAGUUUGAUCCUGGCUCAGAUUGAACGCUGGCGGCAGGCCUAACACAUGCAAGUCGAGCGGUAGAGAGAAGCUUGCUUCUCUUGAGAGCGGCGGACGGGUGAGUAAUGCCUAGGAAUCUGCCUGGUAGUGGGGGAUAACGUUCGGAAACGGACGCUAAUACCGCAUACGUCCUACGGGAGAAAGCAGGGGACCUUCGGGCCUUGCGCUAUCAGAUGAGCCUAGGUCGGAUUAGCUAGUUGGUGAGGUAAUGGCGUCACCAAAGGCGACGAUCCGUAACUGGUCCUGAGAGGAUGAUCAGUCACACUGGAACUGAGACA
rnacentral:rRNA from 1 species